AUUGAACGCUGGCGGCAGGCCUAACACAUGCAAGUCGAGCGGCAGCGGGAAAGUGGCUUGCUACUUUUGCCGGCGAGCGGCGGACGGGUGAGUAAUGCCUGGGGAUCUGCCCAGUCGAGGGGGAUAACUACUGGAAACGGUAGCUAAUACCGCAUACGCCCUACGGGGGAAAGCAGGGGACCUUCGGGCCUUGCGCGAUUGGAUGACCCCGGGUGGGAUUAGCUAGUUGGUGAGGUAAUGGCUCACCAAGGCGACGAUCCCUAGCUGGUCCGAGAGGAUGAUCAGCCACACUGGAACUGAGACACGGUCCAGACUCCUACGGGAGGCAGCAGUGGGGAAUAUUGCACAAUGGGGGAAACCCUGAUGCAGCCAUGCCGCGUGUGUGAAGAAGGCCUUCGGGUUGUAAAGCACUUUCAGCGAGGAGGAAAGGUUGGUAGCUAAUAACUGCCAGCUGUGACGUUACUCGCAGAAGAAGCACCGGCUAACUCCGUGCCAGCCGCCGCAGUAAGAC
rnacentral:rRNA from 1 species